rnacentral:rRNA from 1 species
UAGCAUAUCAAUAAGCGGAGGAAAAGAAACCAACAGGGAUUGCCUCAGUAACGGCGAGUGAAGCGGCAACAGCUCAAAUUUGAAAUCUGGCCCCCUCGGGGCCCGAGUUGUAAUUUGUAGAGGAUGUUUCGGGCGUGGCUCCGGUCUAAGUUCCUUGGAACAGGACGUCAUAGAGGGUGAGAAUCCCGUAUGUGACUGGUGGCCUAUGCCCAUGUGAAACUCCUUCGACGAGUCGAGUUGUUUGGGAAUGCAGCUCAAAAUGGGUGGUAAAUUUCAUCUAAAGCUAAAUAUUGGCCAGAGACCGAUAGCGCACAAGUAGAGUGAUCGAAAGAUGAAAAGCACUUUGGAAAGAGAGUUAAACAGUACGUGAAAUUGUUGAAAGGGAAGCGCUUGCAACCAGACUUGCACGCGGCCGAUCAACCGGUGUUCUCACCGGUGCACUCGGCCGCGUUCAGGCCAGCAUCGGUUUCGACGGCUGGAUAAAGGCCCCGGGAAUGUAGCUCCUCUCGGGGAGUGUUAUAGCCCGGGGUGCAAUGCAGCCCGUUGGGACCGAGGACCGCGCUUCGGCUAGGAUGCUGGCGUAAUGGUUGUAAGCGACCCGUCUUGAAACACGGACCAAGGAGUCUAACAUCUAUGCGAGUGUUUGGGUGUCAAACCCAUACGCGGAAUGAAAGUGAACGGAGGUGAGAACCCUCAAGGGUGCAUCAUCGACCGAUCCUGAUGUCUUCGGAUGGAUUUGAGUAAGAGCAUAGCUGUUGGGACCCGAAAGAUGGUGAACUAUGCCUGAAUAGGGUGAAGCCAGAGGAAACUCUGGUGGAGGCUCGCAGCGGUUCUGACGUGCAAAUCGAUCGUCAAAUUUGGGUAUAGGGGCGAAAGACUAAUCGAACCAUCUA